rnacentral:rRNA from 1 species
UACGUAGGGUGCAAGCGUUAAUCGGAAUUACUGGGCGUAAAGCGUGCGCAGGCGGCUUGCAAGACAGAUGUGAAAUCCCCGGGCUUAACCUGGGAACUGCGUUUGUAACUGGCAAGCUAGAGUGUGGCAGAGGGGGGUGGAAUUCCAAGUGUAGCAGUGAAAUGCGUAGAUAUUGGAGGAACACCAAUGGCGAAGGCAGCCCCCUGGGUUACACUGACGCUCAUGCACGAAAGCGUGGGGAGCAAACAGG